GGCGAGAUGGCCGAGCGGUCUAAGGCGCCAGACUAAGGAUCAGCGACACACAGCUGCAUAUCUUCCACAUGACAUGGAAUCUGGUCCGAAAGGGCGUGGGUUCGAAUCCCACUCUCGUCA
rnacentral:tRNA from 1 species